rnacentral:rRNA from 1 species
UACGUAGAUGGCAAGCGUUGCUCGGAAUCACUGGGCGUAAAGGGCGCGUAGGCGGGGAGGUAAGUCGGGUGUGAAAUCCCUCGGCCCAACCGAGGAACUGCGCCCGAGACUGCUUCUCUUGAGUCCCGGAGAGGAAGAUGGAAUUCCCGGUGUAGCGGUGAAAUGUGUAGAGAUCGGGAGGAACACCGGUGGCGAAGGCGGUCUCUGGACGGUGACUGACGCUGAGGCGCGAAAGCGUGGGGAGCAAACGGG